rnacentral:lncRNA from 1 species
GUAAUUAUUUGCGCUUGCCCAUCUGAGGCAAUUAUUUUGACGGUGUCUUUGCCAAGCACUUUUCAAUGCGAGUAGUCAUGGGGAACGACUCCUGCUGACUCUUCCAAUAGGAUAGUGCCUGGAAAAGAAUGUUGGGCCUAUAAGCAUACGCCACAUGGUCAUAUGUUGAUCCACAAAGCAUCGCUUGAAUUUAUUUUUGGUAGUGAGAAAACACACCAUAUAUUACCUGAUGGAUGGCUGUAUUCCUUCAAGCUAUUAAUUGGCAGUUCAUGUAGGCACUGACAUCUAUAAAUAGGGGCUAAAGAUCGAUUGAACCCUACCUUUCAUCUCUCUUUCCUUGCAGAAAUUUUUUUUUCCCUUCAUCACAAUGGCACCACCUCUAUAUUCACCCUUAUAAGUGAUCAAGGCCAAGGUAAAGGAGCGAAGGGCCUUCAUGAGAGUGGCCCAGGAGAGAACAAGGACUAGGCGCAUCAGGCCAUCUUCCUCUCAUGGGGUGCUCUCCAACCCUCGAGCCCUGUUGCCUUCUGAGAAUGGACAUAUCCUCCAGUCUGAAUGGAUUCCAUCCUAUGAUCGAAUGCACUGUGCCGAGGAGUCUCAAACUUCUACGGAGUUCGAGGAGGUUGUCGACAUUGCUGCCACCACCUUGAUCCUCGAUUUUGAGGAUUGUAAGGCCCGCUUGCAAUAGAUAAUGCCGUAUCUGAAACUCCAAUUUCUCUAGUUUGAGAACAGAGAUGAAGAGGUAGGGGCCUUC